rnacentral:tRNA from 1 species
ACCUGGGUGGCUCAGUGGGUUGAGCUUCUGACUUCAGCUCAGGUCAUGAUCCCAGUGUCCUGGGAUCGAGCCCCACAUCGGGUU